AAAUAGGUAGUUUACUUGUCUGCUGAAAAACACACUAUUAAAAUGACUGCUACGCAUCUCCAUGAUAGCAGAGGAAAUUCAAGUGACUUUUGCACACAAUAUUUUAUGUUGCAAUUAAAACCUAUAGCCCAGGGGCCAAAUCCAUCUAUAUCAAUUUCUGUAUUAUUUACAAUGGCAGUGGGGAGUAGCUGAGACAGAGACUCUAUACCCCAAAAUGCUAAAAUAUUUACUACCUUUACAGAAAAAGUUUGCCAACUCCUACCUAGAAUCAAAAAGGUGGGUAACAUUCCCUCUUCACAGAUGAGAACACUGGAGCAAGGAGGUCAGGCCCUUAAUCCAAGGUCAGAUGGGAAGUGGUAGAUCCACACGUGGAAUUCCAGUUUCCUGCCCUCCUGAAUUUGGCACACUAAAUGCAAAACUGCACGCCAUUCUAAGGAUACAAUCCGAGACGCGUGAACACCCACAAACAAUAUGAAAACUCACAUGAAUUGUCAAAAUAGGUCCUAAGACAGCAAGCUUAGGACCUUUCCUCAAGUACAAGAAAGAUGAUUCAAGCUAUGCACAGUGACAAUAAGCCUGCAAUCAGCGGAAAUUUUUUCACCCUGAGAUUUUUGCCUUUUUUCCCUUCAGGUAUUGCUGUGAUGACAUAAACCAAAGUACUUAUUGUAACAGUAAUCGACCCCAUCCGUGAGUUUUACUGAAACCCGGAGACCCAAUGUAUCAAAUACCAUUUGACCUAAGUGGGCCACGGCCAAGAUUUUUAUUCUAAUGGUGUUCUGGGUGGAUGUGUCUUGUGUCAACCCUAUUUUAUAUGACAGCCUCUAGGGAUGGUCAAUGUCUGAACCAGGUAGGUAUCUGCAUAACUCUCUUAAUAACAGGAAGUUCUGAUUUCCUUGUAGGAAUUUAUUAUCUUCACCCUAGCAACAGAUGACUGUUAGCAACCCAAUUCUGCAGGCAGUGCCUAUCUAUUCCUCCAUGAAUGGUUUCUACUUAAAUGUAACAAGCAUUGGACCCGAAACGAGGGAGCCCAACUGGUGUCUUUGGGUGAAAAGUGCCUCGACCUCUUCAAAAGCAGACUGGCAGAUGGUCCCCAGACAGGAGGCCUAGACAGUGGCAAGGCUUCUAGGUGAAGCCUCCGGCCCCCAGAGAGGGGAACCUCUUCCUGCGGAAAUGAAGGUAAUCAGAACCUACCUCUUAAUAGGGCGAUGGACUGAACGCACUCAUGAUGAUGGAGGUGAAAAUGCUGCCUGACCCGGACACACGCUGAUAAAGUGUUAGGUGAGCUCUAAGGAGAUAUGUGAAUUCAAAUAUUAGCACCCAUGAAAAAUAUGUGUCACAGGAGCUGCUCCGGUGGAGGUGAGGAGAGUCACAGGAGACAAAGGAGGAUGGGGAAAUAAACAAAUGCAGAAAAUUAUCAGACAAUUUGGAAGACAAUUUAAGUAGCAACAGGAAUUUAUAAUAUAAGCUACACAAUAUAAUAGGUAACUAUGCAGUUUUUUAUAAUCGUGUGGAUAUUAAAUGUUAAUUUUCUAUUAUCACUGAUGGGUACAUAAGAGUUUUAUAUACUGUCCUUUGUACUUUUCUAAAUUUUUUUCUGAAUUU